GUUAAGGUUAGGGGAAGGGUUAGCUAUAAGGGUUAAGGUUAGGGGAAGGGUUAGCUAUAAGGGUUAAGGUUAGGGUUAGGGGAAGGGUUAGCUAUAAGGGUUAAGGUUAGGGGAAGGGUUAGCUAUAAGGGUUAGGGUUAGGGGAAGGGUUAGCUAUAAGGGAUAAGGUUAGGGGAAGGGUUAGCUAUCAGGGUUUAUGGUUAGGGGUAGGGUUAGCUAUAAGGGUUAAGGUUAAGGGAAGGGUUAGCUAUAAGGGUUCAUGGUUAGGGGAAGGGUUAGCUAUAAGGGUUAAGGUUAGGGGAAGGGUUAGCUAUAAGGGUUAAGGUUAGGGGAAGGGUUAGCUAUAAGGGUUAAGGUUAGGGUUAGGGGAAGGGUUAGCUAUAAGGG
rnacentral:lncRNA from 1 species